AAAGAUGAUUUCUCUCCUUUUGGAUUUGCCAGUCAGCUGUCAGAUGAGAGAUAAUAGAUGUGAUGACUUUUUAUAUAGGAUAAAUUUUACAGUCAAGGAUCAAAGACUGCAACUGUCCAUAAACUGGCAAUUGUCAAUGAGAUCUGAUAUGCAGAAAUGUAGGUGAUGUCACGCUACAUAUUUUGGAAGGACAGAAAGCACUUUUAAGUAACUCUGUAUUGAUGCACCUGGGAAACAAUGUUUAAACAGCUUCCAGCUUUGAUGCCUUUGGGUCCAGUUCAUGUUCCCCAUUGGACUAAACCAAUCAAAUGUGAUUGUAGAGAAGAGAGUAUUUCCUCUACAAAUAUAUGAUAUUCUACUGAAAAAAACAGAACUGGUCAUCCAAGCUUGUAAGGUAAAACAGUAUUGUAGUAAUGACUGUGAACUUAAUACAAAUAAGCAAAUAUGCUACACUACUACAAUAUAUUUCAUAUAU